GUCCACGCUGUAAACGAUGGGCACUAGGUGUGGGGGUGUCGACUCCCUCCGUGCCGAAGCUAACGCAUUAAGUGCCCCGCCUGGGGAGUACGGCCGCAAGGCUAAAACUCAAAGGAAUUGACGGGGCCCGCACAAGCAGCGGAGCAUGUGGUUUAAUUCGACGCAACGCGAAGAACCUUACCUGGGCUUGACAUGUAGAUCAUACCUGUGGAAACACAGGGUCAGUUCGGCUGGAUCUUCACAGGUGGUGCAUGGCUGUCGU
rnacentral:rRNA from 1 species